rnacentral:rRNA from 1 species
UACGUAGGUGACAAGCGUUAUCCGGAAUUAUUGGGCGUAAAGCGCCCGCAGGCGGCUGUUCAAGUCUGACGUGAAAUCGCUCGGCUUAACUGGGCGGGGUCGUUGGAAACUGAAUAGCUUGAGGCAAGGAGAGGGGCGUGGAAUUCCCGGUGUAGUGGUGGAAUGCGUAGAUAUCGGGGAGGAACAUCAGUGGCGCAAGCGGCGCCCUGGCCUUA